rnacentral:lncRNA from 1 species
UUUGCCUGAUGAGUUACUUUAUUAGUGUACAGAGGGAACCAAAACUUUGUUUUUUCUAAGAAGCUCAGUCUUUAUUUUAAAUCACCAUCCAGUGUAUAAGGUCUUGUGUAUUCUACUUGAGAUCAUCCUAAUAGCAGGGUUAAACGGAGGCAUUAUGGAGAAUUCCUUUAAUAAUACGAGUACAAGGUUUUAAAUUUUUUAAAAAGACUUUUACAUUUUGAUUCGUGUUUUAAAUAUGUACUUAGAAAAAACGAUAGUAGGUCUUUAAAAUAUCCUGUUUUUCUUUUUGAGACUAGAUCAGAGGGUGCUACUCCUAAGUCCUUUUAGAUAUGUUACCAGUCUGUUUGUUUUGGCAAGAUAAACUGUUAAGACUUGACAAAUGAUGUCUGCAAAGCACACGCCUUGUUAAGUAUAUAAACAAGCCACAGAUGUUUCUAUGGGAAGAACGGAUCCUAUUCACUUCAGGAUUCCAAUGUUAGCUCUUCGUAUUUGAGGAAAUUAUAGAAGGAAUAGAACCAUUGUUCCCAUUGUUUAUAACCAACAUUGUGCUUUGGUUUUCAUCUGUGUUUUGUUUUUCCUUUUUUAAAAAAGCACAGUGUAUAUUAACUAUAAAGAGUAAUUUUCACGUGUGUAUGUAACAUACUUGGAUCAUGCUCAUCUGAGCCACUGCCAUACUGCACAGUACAGGCAGAGACAGAAACAGAAACAGACUGUGCCAUGUGUUUUUGUUGACUGUACUUUCAUGAGCAUUACAGUUACUUUUUAAAAAAGAUUUAUUUAUUGUAUAUAUGUGACUACACUGCAGCCGUCUUCAGACACACCAGAUGAGGUCAUCGGAUCCCCAUUACAGAUGGUUGUGAGCCACCAUGAGGGUGCUGGGAAUUGAACUGAGUUGCAGACAGUGCUCUUAACUCCUGAGCCAUCUCUCCAACUCCUACGGCAGUUUUUUGUUUGGCUUUUUUUUUUUCAAGGAUUUAUUUAUUAUUAUAUCUAAGUACACUGGAGCUGUCUUCAGACAGAGCCAGAAGAGGGCGGGCGUCAGAUCUCAUUACAGGUGAUUGUGAGCCACCAUGUGGUUGCUGGGAUUUGAACUCAGGACCUUCGGAAGAGCAGUCAGUGCUCUUCACCACUGAGCUAUCUCACCAGCUCUAGUUUUUUGAUACAAUCAAGAGGAAGCUUGAUCGCCGUCCUCCUCCUGAGGCUGUCUGCAUAGUUCUUGCCUUCCAUCUUACUGUGUGUGAGGCCGUAGCUUCUCAGGUGCAAUGGCAUUCUCUACAUCAGCCCACUUCCUGGUCUUUGCAGCUUUUUCAGUACAGUGGUUUUUGGUUUUUUUUUUUGGGUGGGUGGGGGUUGUUUGUUUUUUUGUUUUUUUCCAGCGGAGUAUUAGAUCAAUCUAAGGAGGGAUUUUAGAUCACAAAUAGCUUUAUAGUCUGUUAUUUGUAUGUCUUAACUAUUCUUGGAAAUUCCUUCUUUAUGUCUCAGUGGUGUGGUUUUAGUAUGAAAUUUUAACUGAGAAAUAUUAGCUACUCGUGAACAAGAAAGAAUGGGAAAUGAAAAUUACAAAUAAUCACCUGAAUAGUUCAGAUCAUGACAGUCUCUACACCAUGGGGUGAGAGGCUCAACUGGGUGAGGAGAGGCCUGGCUUCCUCUUGGUUUCUUACCUGCUUACUCUCUUUUCUUUCUUUCUUUCAGUAUGUCACUGGGGUUUUAUCCUAGUACAAGAAAAACAAAUGUGUAAGAAUUAUAUUUAUUGGUCUGGAGAGAUGGCACAGUGGUUAAGAGCACUGGCUGCUUGCUCUUCCAGAGGUCCUGAGUUCAAUUCCCAGCAACCACAUGGUGACUCACAGCCAUCUGUAAUGGGAUCUGAUGCCCUCUUCUGGUGUGUCUGAAGACAGCUACAGUGUACUCAGAUGAAUGAAAUAAAUAAAUUAAAAAAAAAGAAUUAUACUUAUGUUAUAUAUUCUAUUUUUUUAACUUAUCAAAAAGCUAAUACUACUUUUAUUUUAAAAAUAUACAUUCCACAAAGCACUAAACAAUUAGUCUUUUAAAAUAAACAUUAAUUCCAUAUUGCCAAAGAAUAGUUUCUUUUCAAAUUACGGAAAUUUUAGAAGGUUAAUAAAUGCUUAAUAAUUGGAAAUACUAUUUUUUAAAAGCAUUUUAAAGAUUGUUUUUGCACAUAGCUGCAUACCUCUUGCAAUGCCCAUUUUAUUUCUCUAGAUACUUGUUUAAUGAAUCGUCUUUUCUUUUAGCUUGAUAAGGAUGACAUGGUAUACAUGGAAGCAUAUGAUAAAUUGCUGGAGUCCUGGCUAACUUUGGUCCGAGAUGACAAGCAUUUCCAUAAAGGCUUUUUCACACAGCAUGCAGUUCAGGUGUUCAAUUCCUAUAUUCAAUGUCACCUUGCUGCUCCAGAUGGCACAAGAAAUUUGGUAAGUCCUAAGCAAGGUGGAAUGAAAAAUUACUAUAGGCUCUGUCUGAUCAUAUUGGACAACAUCAAACACUAGAGAUUUGGCAUAGGUUCCCUCAGAUUUGCUGAGAAACAUGUGGUCCCUUGUAUCUGCCAAUUUUCAUAUGUGGCUGUUAAUUAUAGUCAUUUCCCUUUUAAUUUUCCAAUUAGCCACUCUGUCUUUCCAGGUGUCUGGUAACAUCCUAUAUUGAGUAAUAUUCAAUGAACUAGGGAAUCAUAAGAUGCUAGACUGCUUUAAUGACAAGUGACAGUCCCUAGUAUAAGAGGUAGAUUGUAGGUAUAUAGCUAGCUAUUAGCACAUGCACAGAGAAGCAUUUCCUUCCUUCCUUCUCCUCAAUGCUAUUCUCACCCUUUGAGCUACCAGGGCUGCUAGCAGUGUUAGAAAGGAGUCCUAGAAAGCUGCACCUG